AGGUGGGACUACCCGCUGAACUUAAGCAUAUCAAUAAGCGGAGGAAAAGAAACUAACAAGGAUUCCCCCAGUAACGGCGAGUGAAGAGGGAAAAGCCCAAAUUUGUAAUCUGGCUCUUUUAGAGUCCGAGUUGUAAUUUUGAGAACUGUUUUCUGUGCUGGACCAUGUUUAAGUCUGUUGAAAAACAGCAUCAUUGAGGGUGAUAAUCCCGUUCAUGAUAUGGACUACCAGUGCUCUAUGAUACAGUCUCUAAGAGUCGAGUUGUUUGGGAAUGCAGCUCAAAGUGGGUGGUAAAUUCCAUCUAAGGCUAAAUAUAGGUGAGAGACCGAUAGCAAACAAGUACCGUGAGGGAAAGAUGAAAAGAACUUUGGAAAGAGAGUUAACAGUACGUGAAAUUGCUGAAAGGGAAACAAUUGAAGUUAGCCUUGUUAUUUCCAGUUCAACCCUUUUAGGGUGUAUUCUGGUGAUUAACGACCAACAUCAGUCUUUGAGUGCUGGAUAAGGGUUUUGGAAAUGUAGCAGUCUAGGCUGUGUUAUAGUCCAUUACUUUGAUACAAUGCUUAGGAUUGAGGAUCGCAGUAAGCCAAUCUUGGUGGAUCAAUUUAUUGGUCUUCUUACUGAGGAUGUUGGUGAAAU
rnacentral:rRNA from 1 species